GCCAGGUUGGUCUAGUGGUAUAUGGCGCCAGAUUUAUCCGCUGGAGACGUGGGUUCGAAUCCCACACCUGGCA